CUUUAUCGGAGAGUUUGAUCCUGGCUCAGGACGAACGCUGGCGGCGUGCCUAAUACAUGCAAGUCGAGCGGACAGAUGGGAGCUUGCUCCCUGAUGUUAGCGGCGGACGGGUGAGUAACACGUGGGUAACCUGCCUGUAAGACUGGGACAACUCCGGGAAACCGGGGCUAAUACCGGAUGGUUGUUUGAACCGCAUGGUUCAAACAUAAAAGGUGGCUUCGGCUACCACUUACAGAUGGACCCGCGGCGCAUUAGCUAGUUGGUGAGGUAACUGCUCACCAAGGCAACGAUGCGUAGCCG
rnacentral:rRNA from 1 species